UACGGAGGGUGCAAGCGUUGUCCGGAUUUAUUGGGUUUAAAGGGUGCGUAGGUGGCCUUGUAAGUCCGUGGUGAAAGCCUCUCGCUUAACGAGAGAACUGCCGUGGAUACUGCAAGGCUUGAGUCCAGACGAGGUUGGCGGAAUGGAUGGUGUAGCGGUGAAAUGCAUAGAUACCAUCCAGAACCCCGAUUGCGUAGGCAGCUGACUAGGCUGGUACUGACACUGAGGCACGAAAGCGUGGGGAGCGAACAGG
rnacentral:rRNA from 1 species